UACGUAGGGGGCAAGCGUUGUCCGGAUUUAUUGGGCGUAAAGAGCGUGUAGGCGGCCAGACAGGUCCGUUGUGAAAACUCGAGGCUCAACCUCGAGACGCCGAUGGAAACCGUCUGGCUAGAGUCCGGAAGAGGAGAGUGGAAUUCCCGGUGUAGCGGUGAAAUGCGCAGAUAUCGGGAAGAACACCCGUGGCGAAGGCGGCUACUCUCGGGACGGUACUGGACGCUGAGACGCGAAAGCGUGGGGAGCGAACAGGA
rnacentral:rRNA from 1 species